CUCCCAGGUUCGAGCGAUUCUCCUGCCCCAGCCUCCCCAGUAGCUGGUGCUACAGGCACACGCCAACACGCCGGGCUAAUUUUUGUAUUUUUAUUAGAGACGGGGUUUCAUCAUGUUGGCCAGGCUGGUCUUGAACUCCUGACCUCAGGUGAUCCGCCUGCCUCAGCCUCCCAAAGUGCGGGGACUUGGUCUUGACUUUGAAGCACCAGGGCCCCCCUGAGGGAGUGCGGGAAGAGCUGGAGAAGCCAAGGUCAAGAGUGGAAGGACUUGGGGAGUGGUGGAGCCUGGAGCUGUGUGCCCACUCCAGACCCUGGCUCUAGGGAGCCUGGACCCUGAAGCAGGAUGGAAAACUGAGGCCUCAGAUGGACAGGCACUUGUCCAAGUUCUGAGUCCUGGGACAACUGCAAAGCUCUUAAGGAAGAAGGGAGUCGCUUAAGGAUCUGGAAGGCGGACCGGGUGGUGGCUGCCCACCCUGGUUCCCGAGGUGGAGGUUGGGGAGACCCAGCCGGCCCCGCCCAUACCUUCCCUCCUGGUCCCGCCCACCCACCUUGGCCCCGCCUCGUACCUCCCUCGCUCCCAUUGGCCCAGCCUCCCCAGGCCCGCCCCUUCGCGCUCCCGACAUAUAAAAGCCCCCCGCCCCGGCCUGCCGAC
rnacentral:lncRNA from 1 species